rnacentral:rRNA from 1 species
UUGAACGCUGGCGGCAGGCCUAACACAUGCAAGUCGAACGGUAACAGGAAGCAGCUUGCUGUUUCGCUGACGAGUGGCGGACGGGUGAGUAAUGUCUGGGAAACUGCCUGAUGGAGGGGGAUAACUACUGGAAACGGUAGCUAAUACCGCAUAACGUCGCAAGACCAAAGAGGGGGACCUUCGGGCCUCUUGCCAUCGGAUGUGCCCAGAUGGGAUUAGCUAGUAGGUGGGGUAACGGCUCACCUAGGCGACGAUCCCUAGCUGGUCUGAGAGGAUGACCAGCCACACUGGAACUGAGACACGGUCCAGACUCCUACGGGAGGCAGCAGUGGGGAAUAUUGCACAAUGGGCGCAAGCCUGAUGCAGCCAUGCCGCGUGUAUGAAGAAGGCCUUCGGGUUGUAAAGUACUUUCAGCGGGGAGGAAGGGAGUAAAGUUAAUACCUUUGCUCAUUGACGUUACCCGCAGAAGAAGCACCGGCUAACUCCGUGCCAGCAGCCGCGGUAAUACGGAGGGUGCAAGCGUUAAUCGGAAUUACUGGGCGUAAAGCGCACGCAGGCGGUUUGUUAAGUCAGAUGUGAAAUCCCCGGGCUCAACCUGGGAACUGCAUCUGAUACUGGCAAGCUUGAGUCUCGUAGAGGGGGGUAGAAUUCCAGGUGUAGCGGUGAAAUGCGUAGAGAUCUGGAGGAAUACCGGUGGCGAAGGCGGCCCCCUGGACGAAGACUGACGCUCAGGUGCGAAAGCGUGGGGAGCAAACAGGAUUAGAUACCCUGGUAGUCCACGCCGUAAACGAUGUCGACUUGGAGGUUGUGCCCUUGAGGCGUGGCUUCCGGAGCUAACGCGUUAAGUCGACCGCCUGGGGAGUACGGCCGCAAGGUUAAAACUCAAAUGAAUUGACGGGGGCCCGCACAAGCGGUGGAGCAUGUGGUUUAAUUCGAUGCAACGCGAAGAACCUUACCUGGUCUUGACAUCCACGGAAGUUUUCAGAGAUGAGAAUGUGCCUUCGGGAACCGUGAGACAGGUGCUGCAUGGCUGUCGUCAGCUCGUGUUGUGAAAUGUUGGGUUAAGUCCCGCAACGAGCGCAACCCUUAUCCUUUGUUGCCAGCGGUCCGGCCGGGAACUCAAAGGAGACUGCCAGUGAUAAACUGGAGGAAGGUGAGGAUGACGUCAAGUCAUCAUGGCCCUUACGACCAGGGCUACACACGUGCUACAAUGGCGCAUACAAAGAGAAGCGACCUCGCGAGAGCAAGCGGACCUCAUAAAGUGCGUCGUAGUCCGGAUUGGAGUCUGCAACUCGACUCCAUGAAGUCGGAAUCGCUAGUAAUCGUGGAUCAGAAUGCCCCGGUGAAUACGUUCCCGGGCCUUGUACACACCGCCCGUCACACCAUGGGAGUGGGUUGCAAAAGAAGUAGGUAGCUUAACCUUCGGGAGGGCGCUUACCACUUUGUGAUUCAUGACUGGGGUG